ensembl:misc_RNA
UUAAUAGAUCUGGAGAAUGAAAGUCCAUCUUUAUCCACAGAAUAAGAACUGCCAGGGCAGCACCCUGCAGACUUCCUAAAAUGAAGAGAGCAAUGUGCCUCAACUGUGUUCUGGAGGAAUGACAUAUAGUCGUGAGAAGGUAGUUCAAUCUCCAUAUCAUUCAAUCCUUAUUAAGA